ensembl:lncRNA
CUCCCCCCAGCUGUCCCCUCCCCGCGGUGUCCCCAGGUCCCGUGUCCCCCCCGUGACAGGACAUGGCACACGGACACGGUGUCACCUCCCCCCGUGGGAUGGGGACAGACACAAGACACGAGGAUGGUGACGGUGACGCGGCGCCAGCGCUGGGGGACCCUCGGUGACAGCCCCGCCCCCAGCCCGGCCACCCCCCCGGGGGGACAAGGGUGGCACCUCCAGGGGGAGGGGACAGAGCCGAUGGUGGCACCUGGGGGGACACGGGGACACCUGGGGUGGUGUCACCUGAGUGUCCCCAAAGUGUCCUCAGUGUCCUCAAGGGACAUGGGGACACCUGAGAGGACAUGGGGACACCAGGGGUGGUGUCACCAACGUGUCCUCAGUGUCCUCAAGGGACAUGGGGACAUCAGGAGUGACAUGGGGACACCUGGGGUGGUGUCCCCAAAGUGUCCCCAAAGUGUCCUCAGUGUCCUCAAGGGACAUGGGGACACCUGGGAUGGUGUCACCAACGUGUCCUCAGUGUCCUCAAGGGACAUGGGGACACCUGAGGGGACAUGGGGACACCUGGGGUGGUGUCACCAAAGUGUCCCCAAAGUAUCCUCAGUGUCCUCAAGGGACAUAGGGACAUCAGGAGGGACAUGGGGACACCUGGGGUGGUGUCCCCAAAGUGUCCCCAGUGUCCACAAGGGACAUGGGGACAUCAGGAGGGACAUGGGGACACAAGGGGUGGUGUCCCCAAAGUGUCCCCAGUGUCCACAAGGGACAUGGGGACACCAGGAUCCGCAUGCCCAGGUGACACAGGGACAUGGGAGGGACAGGAGGACACCAGGAGGGACAUGGGGACAUUCCAGAUCCGUGUCCCCAAGGGUUCCCAGUGUCCCUUGGGGACACAGGAGGGACAUGGGGACACCAGGAGGGAUGUGGGGACACUGGGGGUGGUGUCCCCAAGGAGUCCUGAGGGACAUGGGGACAUCAAAGGAGGACACCUCGGUCCAUGUCCCCAGGGACAUGGGGACACCAGGAGGGACAUGGGGACACCCGGAUCUGUGUCCCCAAGGGUCCCCAGCGUCCCUUGGGGACACCAGGAGGGACAGGAGGACACCAGGAGGGACACAGGGACAUCAGGAGGGACAUGGGGACACCGGGGUGGUGUCCCCAAGGGGUCCUGAGGGACAUGGGGACACCUCGGUCCAUGUCCUCAAGGACAUGGGGACACGGGAGGGACAUGGGGACACCUGGAUCCGUGUCCCCAAGGGUCCCCAAUGUCCUUUGAGGACAUCAAAGGGUCUUGGGGACAUCUGGAUCUGUGUCCCCAAGGACAUGGGGACACCAGGAGGGACAUGGGGACAUCAGGAGGGACAUGGGGACAGGAAAGGGACAUGGGGACACCUUGGUCCAUGUCCCCAAGGGUCCCCAAUGUCCUUUGGGGACAUCCAAGGGUCUUGGGGACAUCUGGACCUGUGUCCCCAAGGGUCCCCAGUGUCUCUGAGGGACAUGGGGACACCUCGGUCCAUGUCCCCAAGGACAUGGGGACACCAGGAGGGACAUGGGGACACCAGGAGGGACAUGGGGACACCAAGAUCCAUGUCCCCAAGGGUCCCCAGUGUCCCCUGGGGACACAGGAGGGACAUGGGGACACAGGAGGGACAUGGGGACAUUCCAGAUCCGUGUCCCCAAGGGUCCCCAAUGUCCUUUGGGGACAUCCAAGGGUCUUGGGGACAUCUGGAUCUGUGUCCCCAAGGGUCCCCAGUGUCUCUGAGGGACAUGGGGACACCAGGAGGGACAUGGGGACACCUCGGUCCAUGUCCCCAGGGGACAUGGGGACACAGGAGGGACAUGGGGACAGGAAAGGGACAUGGGGACAUUCCAGAUCUUUGUCCCCAGUGUCCUCUGGGGAUACGGGAAGGACAUGGGGACACGGGAGGGACACGGGGACAGGAAAGGGACAUGGGGACAUUCCGGAUCCGUGUCCCCGCGGUUCCCGAUGUCCCUUGGGGACAGGAAAGGGACAUGGGGACAUUCCGGAUCCGUGUCCCCGCGGGUCCCCGGCGUCCCUUGGGGACAGGAAAGGGACAUGGGGACAUUCCGGAUCCGUGUCCCCGCGGGUCCCCGAUGUCCCCAGGGGUUCCCGAUGUCCCCAAGGGACACA